AAAAUAUACAACAUUCGACAAGCUGAGAUGUCACAUUUGUGAGAAAAAUUUGACUAAUACAUUUCUUGCAAAUUCGAUCCGCAGUAAGUCUGUGCAGGGUGCUAUCCUUAUUUGUUCUUCUUGUGUUACAUUAACUAUGCCCACGAGUAACGCAAGAAGGCUAGUGCCUCUCACAAUAGGCCCGAAGGAAAAUGAAUCUCGGCUGUAGAUGUUAUCGCUGUAAUGUUAAGCAGGGUUAUGUGAAAGAAGGAAGUGUGGCUCCUGAAUUAAAUACAAGCAAAUUGAUAUGAAAAAAAAGGAAAGGAGAAUUUGCGAGGCGUUACUGAGGGGAUCUACAAUAAGAGGGUUUUCUUUGACCUGAAGAAACGUGAAGCUUCAUUUACAUAGAGACAAGACGCAGUGACGUUAGCAGUUAUCCGGGCCGCUAGCUGCUCCAUACGUUCUCCAGAGAUAAUCUAUCCCGUUUCUCUGCUCCAAACCGGCGCUCCGGAACUAGAAAAUAAAACCAAUCUAUCUGUUGAUAAAAUGCUGUACAUUGUCUAUUAGAAAACAAUAAACCGUGUCACGUCUUUAAAAAGUCCCAAUUCCUUUUUUUUUCGCUGCGGCACAGGUCAAAGGCACGCCUGCUUUUCAGAUCUGUGGCUGCCUUAGAAAUUGAACCUCAAAGUGUUUUCAAAAAGAUCAUUAUACCAUUAGGAAAAGUUUAAAGUUUUUUUUUCGUUAAGUGCCAUUUUACGAAAGGAGAGAAGCAUUCCGCUGUUUAACCCCUGAAGUUUCACUGAGCUGGAACGUGCCGUCGAAUGCAAUGCCUUGCAUUUGGGAUCAACUCUGACGCCAGUGCAUUCACAAAAGGUCAAGGAGCUUGACAAUUGGCUGUGAGAAUUUCUUUCUUUUUGGCCCCAACAUUGAACUAAGAUACGAAACGUUCGGGGUGAAAUUUGCAAUAGUCUGUACCACUUGAUGGAUUCUCUGCACGCAACAGUUGCAGAAU